rnacentral:tRNA from 1 species
GCCUGGGUGGCUCAGUCGGUUGAGCGACUGACUUCAGCUCAGGUCAUGAUCUCACGGUUCGUGGGUUCAAGCCUCGCAUCGGGCU